rnacentral:rRNA from 1 species
GAUGAACGCUGGCGGCGUGCCUAAUACAUGCAAGUCGAGCGAACGGACGAGAAGCUUGCUUCUCUGAUGUUAGCGGCGGACGGGUGAGUAACACGUGGAUAACCUACCUAUAAGACUGGCAUAACUUCGGGAAACCGGAGCUAAUACCGGAUAAUAUUUUGAACCGCAUGGUUCAAAAGUGAAAGACGGUCUUGCUGUCACUUAUAGAUGGAUCCGCGCUGCAUUAGCUAGUUGGUAAGGUAACGGCUUACCAAGGCAACGAUGCAUAGCCGACCUGAGAGGGUGAUCGGCCACACUGGAACUGAGACACGGUCCAGACUCCUACGGGAGGCAGCAGUAGGGAAUCUUCCGCAAAGGGCGAAAGCCUGACGGAGCAACGCCGCGUGAGCGAUGAAGGUCUUCGGAUCGUAAAACUCUGUUAUUAGGGAAGAACAUAUGUGUAAGUAACUGUGCACAUCUUGACGGUACCUAAUCAGAAAGCCACGGCUAACUACGUG